AAUUUGACAUUAUUGAAAACAAGAAUAAAAAUUAAUAUAAUUAUUAUAUUGAUAAUUCUAAUGCAGAGCAAGACAAAUGAUUUUACACAUCCAGCCCUGAUCGCAGCUCAUGGACAGCAAUACCUUGUAGUAGAGCGUAGUAAAUUAGACCUCGCGAAUAAUAGCUUGAUAUAGAAAGAGCGUCCGCUUUGGCAGGACAGAUAGUACUUAUUACUCUCUCGUAGUAGCGUACAUUCCGCGAAUAUGAAUGGAUGUGGAGCACGCGCGCGCACUCCUGGUGAAAGGGGUGAAAUGAGAGCGACCGAGAAAAGAAAGGAACCAUUGGGGUCAAUGAUACCUCCCUCCCCCACUAACUACUAUCAAACCGAACUUGAAUCGAUAGAAAGCCAUUAAGGAACAAAAAACUUCACAACGAGAUGUCAAAAAUUCCACCGUACAUAAGGCUAAAAUAUAAAAUAUAUGCUUGUAAAGAAAAAUGCAAUGACAAAACAGUAGAAACAAACAGUGGACUUACCAAAAUUCUAAAAGAGAUGAAGAAUACAAAGAGAUUGAAAGCACAACUGUCAAAAAUAUCCUAAUGAUCGUUGUCAAAAUAAUACGAUUUUAUUUUUAUCCAGACUUUCA